UACGUAGGGGGCAAGCGUUGUCCGGAAUUAUUGGGCGUAAAGAGCGUGUAGGCGGCCAGAUAAGUCCGCUGUGAAAACUCGAGGCUCAACCUCGAGACGCCGGUGGAAACUGCAAAGCUAGAGUCCGGAAGAGGAGAGUGGAAUUCCUGGUGUAGCGGUGAAAUGCGCAGAUAUCAGGAAGAACACCCGUGGCGAAGGCGGCGAUCUGGGUAGAUACUGACGCUGAGGUACGAAAGCGUGGGGAGCAAACAGG
rnacentral:rRNA from 1 species